rnacentral:rRNA from 1 species
GACGUAGGGCGCGAGCGUUGUCCGGAUUUAUUGGGCGUAAAGAGCGUGUAGGCGGCCAGAUAGGUCAGCUGUGAAAACUCGAGGCUCAACCUCGAGACGUCGGUUGAAACCAUCUGGCUAGAGUCCGGAAGAGGAGAGUGGAAUUCCCGGUGUAGCGGUGAAAUGCGCAGAUAUCGGGAAGAACACCCGUGGCGAAGGCGGCUCUCUGGGACGGUACUGACGCUGAGACGCGAAAGCGUGGGGAGCGAACAGG